rnacentral:lncRNA from 1 species
GCACUUCAUAUUAAUGUGUCAAGUAUUUUGAUCUCAAUUUUCCUUGCAGGACAAUUAGAUACAUGGGGUUGACAUUAAAGAAUCUUGAAAGUCAGUGCUGCUGGCUGGCUUUUUUUUUUUCCUCAGCUCACAAGCAGUUUGAAGUUCUAACUCGUGAAUUACUGAAGGAUAUCAUCAUAUCAUUCAGUUGAUUCUCAAUCCAAGACCUUCCUUGAAUUCAGCCAGUUUUAGCGUCUCCUGAAGGAUGUGUUGGCAGCGAAUUUCGACCCAAAAUUUAUCUGUGAGAGAAUUAAUUGGCCCUCGUACAGCUGCAGCCAAAGGAGUCAGCAUUGUGUCUAUGGAGAAUUUGAGCCUGAGCUCAUACACCAAAGCUAGAGGUGAGAUCAAGGAAAGUGUUUUCACUGCAGGGGAUUGUGAUAGCACCCAUUGGAUGAUCAUAUCCAAAUUCAUCUUCAGCUUGAGUUAACAAAUCUUGAAAUGACGGUUGGUUCAAGUAUGAUACUGGAAUCACAAACCGCUUCUUUUCACCCUCCCCAACAUAGACUGCAAAGUAGCCUUUAGGAACAUCCAAGGACUUUGAAGGUACUUUGUUUUUCUUAGCAUGUACAAAAAUGCCAGGCAACCGGAAGCCCAUCGUUUUGAAAUUUCUAAAUAACAAGACCAAAAAGGAAGAUUUCAAAUGAAGUGAGAAAGCUCUGAUAAGAUAUUCUUAGGAAUAGAAAC